UUUUUUUUUUUUUUUGUUCUCAACAAUCUGAUCUGAACUGAUACAAAUAUAAGACUGCAUGCGAUAUACGUACCUCUCAAUCUCGCAAAGCUGAGAGUUUUUCGAUUUUGAGUCUCCUUGAUAUGAACUAAUCCAAGUUAGUUACAACUUUAAAUUCACAUUCUCAUAAUUUAGAUUAGGUUAGAAUUUACUUCAAUGAAAAAGUAAGAAUACUCUUGAAAACCAGUUAGGUGUAUUAAAAGAGAGAUUAUUUUGUCUGGUUUCGAACUAGGGACAGAGUAAUGAUAAGGAUACUAAAUUUGAAAGCUAAAAUUACAAACUAAAUGAUGUGUCAUUAAUAAAAAUGAGCUAGUCUAUCAACGCUUAAGUAACUUUCAUGUCCUUUAGUUUUUAAAAUUGAGUCUCCCUAGCAUUACUCCUAGAGCCAAAUACGGAAUCGGGGGUGGAGUGGUUUUUUUGUGUUUGGGUCGUAGGCUUGACACAGUCCGAUUUCAUAUGGAGAGCGAUCAAAUCAGAUGGGGAGGGAAGCGUCAAAAUUUGAGAAGCAAAGAUGGGAAGGAAGAAGAGGAAAAGAUGGAUGAUUCAUAAUGUGGUUUGCUUUGCAACUACUAGUGUAAGUCUGUAAGAGUUGAUGUGACAUAAGAUUAACCAAAAAAACAAAAAGAGGAAAAGGGAUUAUCUCUCAAUCCAUCCUCCCAAAGAGAAUCGAUUACUUCUUCCGCCUUGUUCCUCUUGCUUACUACGAUUUUAGCUCCACACUCGCCGCUCUUUACAUUGGUUUCCAACUCUCGUUGCAGUUUGCAGGCUCUACUCCGUUUCUCCUUAACCUCUCUCUCUCUCUCUCUCUCUCUCUCCCUAUACUGCUCCGGCUUGAUUGCUUGCUGUCAUACUGUCGGAGUUCUGAUCUUCUUCUUCAACGACUGCUCUUCCACUGCCAGUUCCGUCCGCACUUCCAUUGCACUCGUGUCUUUCAGCUUUCCCAUCCGAUUUUCCUCUUGGAGAAGGCAUGGGGCUAUGGUUGGAUUUUGCAGACCCGCUCUCUUUCUCUAUCUGGGGAGGAAUCUCAACAGCAGGGCUCUUUUGAGUUGCACUAUAAGGCAGCUGUUGAGGAGCUGAUGAGUUACCCGAACCUGGGGGAGGGAGGAAAACUCCAGUGCCAGGUAGAGGGAUGCGAGGCGGAGGAUGCCUGGGAGCUGCUGCCCAUCCAGCUGAAACAGGUGGCAUGGGAACUGCUGUGGCAAAAGGUAUUGCUGGUCCUACCGGAGCUGGCACAAACAAUGGCUGGAUGCCAUUUGGAGGUGGAAGUUGGGACCGAAUUGAUGGGGCUGGCAAAACACCAGUUGUUGGAACGGCUGCAUAGUGAUUGGGACCAGCAGGAUGCCGGAUGUGACUUGGAGAUCUACCAGAUGCUGGACCCCAGUGAGAUGACUGAGCUGGAGUAGGUCCAGGAAAGCGUUGACCAUCACUCAUCGUAGAUUUCUUUGGUUGAGACUUUGUGAAAGUAACGAGUAUGCGUUGCUUUCGGAUAGAAGGUAUUGCAUGUUUAGCAAAAUCUGUGGAUUUCCCUUGCAGCAAAAGGAGGGAUCUGCAGCGUUCAUGAUCAAACACCUUAUGUCAGGAAUCUCAAAUGAAGGUAAGCAGCCUUUAAGUUAAAUGAUGGCACGAUUUCAUAUGCAAGGUAAAAAGAAAGGACAAGACAAUUGCAUAUGGAUGUGAGAAAACUAUGCCAUGAUCCUGAAUAUUCAACUCACAUUCCUACGGCAUGCAAAGUCAACAAGGAAAAUGUGUUCUAUUAGUAUGAAUAAUGUAUCGAUCUCCAACGGAUGUGAUGGAGCCGACUUCUAAAAAAGCUACAAGUAUUACUAGGUCAUCAGAAUUCAAUGUUUCACCGCCAAGUAACCUUAACUUGAUUCCGAUAUUUUCAAACCAGUACUACUCGGCCUACAAUGCUUUAUUUAGAAAGAUGACAAUAAAUAAAGUACAUAAAAGAGAAGCGGCAGCAAACCAAAAAGAAGUUCACACUGAAGAAGAUAAAUAUUAUCAAAUGAGAGCCGUCAGAAAGGCUACCCGGGUGUAAGAGAAAGCUUGAGGGCGCCUCUAUAAUCCCCAGGAUGGUCUGAUACCAGUACUCUCCCAAAAGUCAUGUCACAUUCUGUCAGUAACAGAACGCAAACAGGCCUUCCAAACCAAGGUGGCCAUAUGUGAGGGUGUGAAUGAUCUCCCUACAAAUAAUCGUCACAAAAUUUCAUAAACAUUAUGACUCUUAGAAAAUUGUGCAAUUAUAGAAACCUAGAAGAAGAUACAGUAAACCAAUAUCAACCUCGUUAUAAAAGUCAAUGAUACAAGAGUCUGGCUUCACAGUCGUAACUUGCAUCCCAACCAAGCGAUCUAUAACAUCCUGCAGCAAGGAAGGGAUGGCUUCUAUUCUCCGAUCUACAGAUUUCAUUUAUAGAAAAAUCAACAAAUGGAACUUGAAUAAAACGUGAAUAGACAUUUCCUUAUAUUGGCAAAAAUUAAAAGACCAAUGUAAUUUGCAACAUGCCUUUGGAGGUUCCUGCAGAAAUUUCAUCUUCAGAUGGAGCAUCAGUAACAGGUAGGCCCAAUUGAAUCAUUUCUCUUCCAUGUCCCCUCAUGGGCCUCUUUGAGACCACAUAUGUCUGACCUGCUUCGCAUAGAAAAAGAGAAUAUAUAUUAUUUGCAUAGGGCUUUUCAUAUGUAAGCCCUUGAUAUAACAUCACACUUUACAGAAAAUACACUUCAAACUCAGUACUUUCGAGGAAAACCCAACUUACUUUAUAACACCAAAGGAAAUUCACAACUAGAAUCAACUAUAGCAUGGGAAGUGGAUAGAUGAGGGCGUUUUCUCCAAUUGGGCUCUUUAAGUGUUUUUCUUUAAAACUUAAAGUUGUCAGGUGUGCUUUCUAGUUUACCAAAAAUAGUACUCUUCUGAGAGUUAAUGAAAUUAUGAAAUACAAACUUACCAAAAUUUGAUUAGAAAUUCAAUAAUAGUAUUUCCCUGGCAUGAUGUGCACACACCCACACAAAUAACAUAGACCAUAGUGUAGAAACAAUAAUACCAAACAAGUGAUAUUAGAGUCGCUAACACUAACUAGUACUAGCAUUUGAAAACUUUCUCGAAAGGUUUCAGGGGUAAAACAACCAAUAAUCUUGCAGGUUAGGAUGGAAAGGAUUUAAGGAAAAUGUAAGAAUAAAACAAGAAUCAAAAUGUUAAAACUAAGCCAUCCAAAUCCUCUCCUAUAAAAAGAAAAGGGAACAAAAAAAGUUUGCGAGGGAACGAGAGAUCCUCAACAAAGAAUUAAAAAACAAUAUAAGUUCAGGCAAUCACUUAUUUGAUCGCUUAUUAAACCCUUUUCUUUGAACUAAACAGCGACAAUUUUUUUUUCAAAGACCAUUUCUUAAAGCAAAGGGUUCAAUACACGUUCAAAAACAAAUUAUUGAAGCAGGCCAAAGAAAUAACAGGUGGAGUAAGCUUAUGUAGUUUGAAAAUAUAAAACAAAAACCACUAGAAACAACUAUAACCUAAGACUAGUUUAAUUGGAAGGUACAUGACAAAGAUGUUGAUCAAAACUAACAUGGGACACAACUACAUUAAAUAUUUGAAUUUAAUCGGAGAUAGUAAUAGAAUAGUAAAGAAAGGCAAGAAUACAUGCGGCAGAUUAAAUAAGCUUAGCACAUGGGUAAGGAUGAUGGUGAUGAUUUGAUUAGUUCAAAUGGUGUUUAACUACCAAAUUCAUGGCACAACAUGGUGGAUUUAUGUUUAGUACUGGAAUCAACCACAAGUUUUUUAUAUAAAGGAUUGUUAAACUCGCCUUGAAAUUGUCCUCUUUUCCCUGCAACCCUUAAAUCAUUAGCCAAAGAAACAAGUUUGGAGACUUCUGUGUCACCAAGCAAUCCUUCAAAUAAUUUCAGUCCAUCGACCACAUUAACCUGAAAAGGAAACAUUAGAAAAUCUACUGAUUCAUAACAUACUUCAAGCUAAAAAGACAGUAUCAAAUGAGGAAACUACCGUCUUUCCAUCUAUUAACUCGUUGCCAACAAAAGUUUUAGGGACAACGGGAAGGUUCUGCUGUGCAAUCUGAAUUUGGAUAGAAUGUGAUUCAUUCUCUGGAAAAAGAUCACAGAAUCCCAAGUUUAAAUACAAAAGUAGAAGAAAUAGAAUCAAAUAAAACCACAUUUGAAGCCAUGUCAGGAUAGAUUUGGAGUGGAUGUACGUAUUUUAGUAGGCAAUAGAGAGUGAGAAAUAUUAUGGCAAACCAUGAAUUGGGAUGAACAAUUCUCAACAUAUUUACACUAGGGUAAAUCAUCUAAAGCACAUGCUAAAGACGGAAAUAUAAGAGGUGUCCCACCUGGUCUAGGCUGCCCAUGCCUUAGUAAUACCUCCUAAAAAUAUCUAUACCAACAUCUAAACCUCCCCCCCCCCCCCUCCGGCGACUAAAACCCCCAAAGUAAUGAAAGAAAGAUAAACUAACAAAGUGUGUUACCCUUAGAGAUUGAGGUGCAUCCAUCUCCUACCGCAACUUCAGGUUCUAAAUUGCAAUAUAUGGUCUGCUGUGAAUUCCCUGAACUCCUUAAUCUGCUAUCUUCUUGAGGUUUUGUAAGAGCAUCUGUAACAGCAAUCAUAACUGUGUUACAAUAAGGUUAACAACUGAAAAUUAGCCGAAUCAGUAUACUGCAGAUAAAACACAGGCAUAUUAAAAUGAAUUUUGCAUGUGUAUGCAAUGCAAAUAGUUCAGAGACGGGCUACUACUUUUUUACAACUUCUAAGACAGUGCAUUUACCCUGCAGUGAUUUCCUAGUUUUAAGAGAGCAAUCUCACCUGGUGAAACACUUGCCUUUUCAGGUCACAACCUAUGAAUUUCGAAAUUACUAAAAGAUAGUUUCUCGACCAUUUGUGACAACUUAAAAAAAAUUCCUAACAUAUUCAAGACAUGCUUGAUGUUCUUCAAAAGAUUUAAGACUUUUUCGUUCAGCUUUAAAGCUCGGACUUGAUUACCAUCAACCAGCAUUACUAUAUUUGUUCAAAUGAGCACGAAAUCACCAAUCCUAAGCCCAAAAGUUACCUUUUUUCUCUCCAGCAGGCGCUAAACCCUUAUCAUCCAACUUCCCAACCUCGCCAUGGGGCUUAACUUCCUCAGCUACAUCGCUUCCCCGCUCAACUUUCUCCGAAGCAACAAGCCCCGAAGAAUUCCCAUCAUAACUAUGAACCUCUGUCCUAAAAUUAUGUCCUUCCUUGAAAUGCUCAGCCCUCUGUUGGUCCUUGUUAAACCCCGAAGCGGAUCUUUUAUACUCCUUGGUCCCCACUUUUACAGGAUCAUAUUGCAUAUGCUGCCUCCUCCAGGCAACAUGUUGCAGUGCAUAUAUCACCUCCGCAACGGAAAAGUACUGUUGCAUAUGAAGCACAGGGUUCCAAUUGCACCUCCUCUGCUGAAUACACCCGAUAACGACGUCGUACUCGCCUGGAUCACCAACUGCACGUAAAUGGUGGCAAAGGGAGUCUAUAAUAGUAUUUGCUGCUGCGAAUUCUCCGCGCAACCACGAGAUGAACCCAUCACGCUCAUCCGGGAGCCACUGACGGGGGUGCUGGUGGAUCUCGCCGCCUCCAACGGCCGCACCGCCACCACCACUAGGAAAUUGCAUUUUGUCCGAUAAAACCACAUUCCCUGACGGCAUUGUCAUCAGAACCCACUACACCAAACUCACUACUAAGUCUACUAUCACUUACAGAUCAUGCCUCAGUAACUCCCAGAUCCAAUAAAUCAAACCUACGGCUAUAUCCCAAACCCUACAAAAUGCAAGCAGAUCGCACCAAAUGAAACCCCUACUCUAGCAGGAAUCAGCUUAAAGACCACAACUUUCUUAAAUUUUACCACUUUUAGAAUAAUAAACCCUUAAAAUUUCUCAAGAACAAUGCAAAACCUGAGAUGGGUUCCACUUAAAUUGUUCAAAUAUCGCACCGAUCCAACGAAACAGCUGGGUUCAAGCGAAUUGAGGUGACGAAUCGGAGCUUGGUCCAACUAAUCAGAUCUGGGAAAUGGGGUUUGUGGGAAUUGAAAGCAGAAUUAAAGGACUGUCGUUUUCUCUGCGUGCAUAUUUAUUUGGGGACGGACGAGUGGGUCUCUGAGUGGCGUACAGGUUGGGGUGGUGGGGCUUGGAAGAAGAAGAAGAUCUAGGUUUUGGUGGAAAAUGUUAGUCUCUGCGCGUGUAAAAUGAGGGGGAAGGUGAAGACUGGCUUAUUGAGCACGCAUUUGGUCUAAAAUGGUGGCUGAGAAACCCUCUCUCUCCCUCUCUCUCUUCUCUCUCUCUCUCUCUCUCUCUGUCCCCCCUUGAUGAGGGAGCUCUGUCAUAUCAGUGCGGAAGGAACCAAUGAGCAUAUCUUGACUGUAGGCGUAUUUUGGUCAUUGUAUUAGAUUAGUUCUUUAAUUUCUUAGUAGGUUUAGAUCAUGACUUGUUUAGAAUUAUUUUUAAAAUAAUUUUAAAAACUAAUUUUUAGUAAAAAAUUAAUCUUUAGACAUAUGUUUCUUUUAUAAAACUUUUUAAAUGCUUUUAUAACCGAAAAAUAUUUUUUCUAAAAGUUCUUUCAAUCAUUUUAAAAAUACUUAUAAACAAAACAAAUUGUUAAUCUUGUAGCUUAAGAUUAAUGAGCUGCUUACAAACCCAAAGAGUCCACAAAUUCUUCUCUUUUUGUUUUGGUCAACAAAUAUUUCAGUUUCGUCACUUUUGUAACAGCCAAAAGUUCCUAUUUUUGGUACCUGAAAUUCUAGUCUGGUCUAGUAUAUACCUUUGCACAUGUACUCAUGACAAUACAACAAUCUCAAUUCGCUUGAAUUGUUUUAUAUGUGAACAAAUUUGCAUUAUUCUCAAUAGCAAAAGAUACCAAUAUGGUGAUUUUGUACUCAUAUGUGGCUAAACUUAAACUCAACUUAAUUCAACAACUUUCAUGUCUUUUCCUCCUAAACUCGUAUCAAAUGUGAUAACUUUGUUUGAAUCUUGUGUUUGUUUGUACGUGGGUCGAGUGUCAGUUAAAAUUAUACAUCAUAAACAAAAGCACGAGGAAGGAGAAAAAGAGAAGAGACCAAGAAUGAUUGUUAAGAAGAUUGUUGCGGAUUCAAAGCUAAGGGCACGGCAGAUUAUUAUUAUUAUUAUUAUUAUUUUGGUUUUCUCUGUGAACGGCUAAGAUUUUUUAAUUGUUUCAUUUAUUUUGGUCUCUUGAUUAACAUAAUUAAACAUGGUGUGUAUGGCGUGAAAAAUAUUUUUUUCCCCUUCUUCAAAAUAGAAUAUAAAUUUACCUACCCAUAUAAGGGCUAGCUGUCAAUAGUGUAAUUGUCGGAACUUAGUUUCAGAGCCGUCUUCGCAAAUUUUUCAAAAGGGAAGUUGGGUAAGUUUUCAUGACUUUUGAGUUUGAAAAAAAGACCACACAUAUAUUAUCUAUCGUAUUUUAAAAGAGACAUGAUAGUGAUUUUGUUACAGUAGUCCAUCUUUUUGAAUUUUGAAAACAUUUAUAUAGACAUUUCAGUUUUUCUCGUGAUUUGAUGUAUCCAUAUGAUUAUCCACAAUUUUUCAAAACCACGCUAGCUUUGUUUGGAUCUUCACCAAAUCUUCCCAAAUUUUGCUGAAUGGAGAAAGCUCUUUUUUUAAUUCCACCCCAAUGUUUCAAUUUUUUUUUUUGUUAAAUACUUUAAAUUUAACUGCAUGAUGAUUUUUGAAAUAUUCUCAAAUAUUAUGUGUUGCUUAGCCUUUAAUUUUUCUUUUUGAUACAAACUUGUUACUUAAGACGUUGUAAUUAAAGUAAGACCAAACGACAUUGGUGUUGGGAGAAUUCGAACUCAAGCUUAAAAUUCAAGGAAAAAUGUUCUUCUCCAUAAAAGCUACAAGCCCCUUGUGAAUAUCAUCUUUUUCAGUUUCAGCUAAUCGAUUUUGUCCAAAUUCGUGUUUAGUCCCCUUUCUCACAAUUUAAGAUUCCAAGCUUGUUUAAGCAUACUAAACAAGGGAUUGUCUUUCAUAUGUAAAAGAUUUGCAACUAUUAUGAUGAUAUUGUUCCAUUAGUUUUUUUUUUUUUUUUUAAGGAAAACUAAUGAAAAUGAUUUGAAAAUUUUGAGUUUUAAUAAUAAGAACAAAAUAAAUGGUAAAAUAAAUAGUGUCAGGUUUGACAUUUUAGUGUAAAAAUAUGGUUUUAUGUUAAAGUAAACAGUACCGGAAUUUUUUUUGUUAAAACUCCAUUUUUUUAUAAUCUUGUUUAAUUUGAGGACUAAUUGUGGUUUGUUAUGUACAUAUCAGAUGUGGAUGUACUUUACUAACUCGGCUAUAAUCUUGUUUAAUUGUUCCAAAGUUAAAAAGUCAACAAAAUGCAAUUGGACUGAAGAAUUUCAAGCGACGCAUCUCUCGCUUCUCUCUCUGUCUAGCAAUGGCGGCCACAGUGACCUCUCAGUCCUCUCUCAUACAAUCAAAACCCGCUCUCUCUUCAAAAACCCUGCAAAACCCUCGUCCUACCUCCUUUGCCGUGCCCUCCAAUUCCCUUUCACGUACCUCUCCAAAACACACACACGCACACACACACUCUCUCUCUCUCAUCUCAGCGAUGUGAAAUUGACACAAAGAUGUGGUUUUUGUGUGCAGGACUGCAAUUUGGUGUGAAAUUGGGAAAUGGGUUCGCCGCAAAAGCUUCAAUGGCCGGCUCCGAACAGAACUCGAAGCCCCCCGUUGCCGAAAAGAGGGUCAAGAAUCCCAUCAUUGUCAUUGACAAUUAUGAUAGCUUUACCUACAAUCUCUGCCAGGUUACCAAUUCGAAUUUUCCUCCUUUCAUGAACAAUGAUGAAUUGAAAUUUUUCGAUUUUUUUAUGUACAUAGAGUUAGUAUUUCACAUCUUUUUUCUUCCACUUUGCUAGUUAUUUGGUAUUCAUGGAGUAUUCCCUUUUCGAACAGAGGAGGUUUGAGCUUCUAGAGCCAAAAAUUCAAUAUAACAGUUGCGAAAACCAUCCAUUGUGACUCUUUUAGCUUUGUGACUGCUGCACUAGAGAGAAGAUAUGAAAAGGAGACGCCUUGAUUUUCAAUUUUUAAUAGAAUGCAACGAGAUUAUGUAUGGUCAUUCAAGGAAUACUCACCGAACAUGCGUUUGAUUUUGAAUUCAUGUGCUUUAAGCACUCUAGAUUUUUUAGAAGCCCUCUUCCAGGGUCAGGUGGGACUGCAGUUCGACAUAAUUAGUCUAUCUGUCCUUUUAUUUAUUGGUGGUUGCAAAUCAAGAAGACGUUGUACUAAUACCUUUCUUUGAUGCGAAGUAUAUGGGUGAGUUGGGAUGUCUCUUUGAAGUCUAUCGGAACGAUGAACUAAGUGUUGAUGAACUAAAAAGGUAAGUAGUUGUACUUUACCUAUUUAAUCACUUUUUUUCUGCUGCGUAAGCGCAAUGUAUUGGGUGGCGAAGCAGUAAUGAUAUAAAGAUAUAUUCUCUGUGACUGCGAGGAAUCUGACAUUACUAACUGUUGCUUCUUUCCAUUAUUACAGGAAAAAUCCCAGAGGAGUGCUAAUCUCUCCUGGGCCAGGUCAGUUCUUCACCUUUUGGUGAUGUUUCAUAGGUAGAUGUUUCGGAAAGGAAACAAUCACUCAUUAUUAGGUCUUGACACUAGUAUUUCCUUUUUUUUUAGGCACCCCUCAAGAUUCUGGAAUAUCGUUGCAAACUGUGUUGGAGCUAGGGCCCAUUGUACCCUUAUUCGGUGUAUGUAUGGGUUUGCAGUGCAUCGGGGAGGCUUUUGGAGGUAAGUCAUCUUACAUAUGAUAAAGGCUUUUUAACAAUCUUUAUGUUUCUGUUAUGCAUUUGACUACGUACUUUGAUUUUCUAGGGUAUAUUUUCAUUGUACCCUUAUUUAUUGUGGGGCUUUAUCGUAAUCCAUGUGGGUUUCUGGUGUUGCAGGGAAAAUUGUUCGUUCUCCAUUUGGCGUCAUGCAUGGGAAGAGCUCUCCUGUAUAUUAUAACGAGGAGGAGGAAGAUAGCUUGUUUUCGGGGUUAACAAAGUAUGAAUUUUUCUGUCCUUUUGUGAUGCCCAUUUAUGUUUUUGUCUUCCUAAUGUAAAUUUUACCCAAACUGUCAGCAAAUAUUAACAAUCCUAUUUAUUAUUUAACCAUUUCCAAACAUUGUUCACAUUUUACAUUUCUUUUGUUUUUUACGUUAUGAAUGAUUGCGGUACCUUGUUGUAAACUUCUAUUUGUACCUUUGUUGAUCGUUUGUUAACUAUAGCUCCUUGUGGCUUUCGUGUAAGCAGGCUUUAAUGUUGCAUAAAAUGCAUUUCAAUAUCAGUCAUUUCUUGAAUGGCAAUGUUGUGCAAGCUUAGUAGCAAAUGCUAAGUUGUAUUUGAAAUUCUUGAUUAUAUAUGUGAACCUUAAUCUAAAAAUCCUAUUACUUUGGCCGUAUAUUAUUUGAAAGUAACAUGUAGGGGCUGGUGUUUGGUUGACGGUACCAUAUAUUAGGUUGGACUGGUUGCUAAAGGAAAUGUUUGAUUUAGUGUAUGAGAUUUCUCCUGUUGUUUGUAAUGUAAUGAAAUAAUAAACUAGUAUGAGAAGACCUUGCUUAGCAUUAAAUUGACGAGAAUAUCCUUCCAAACUCUCAACCAUCCUGUGCAUUAACUCAAGUGACAAGUAACUUUCCUUUUGUCUUUUCAGCCCUUUCACGGCUGGCAGAUAUCACAGUCUUGUAAUCGAUAAGGACAGUUUCCCAGGUGAAGAACUGGAAAUUACAGCAUGGACAGAGGAUGGACUGAUAAUGGCUGCUCGUCACAAGAAAUAUAAGCAUCUUCAAGUAUGAAACGGUUUCCUUUUUCUUUUCUCCUUUCAAACUAUUAUGCAUAGGUAGAAUGUUGUGCUCUUUAGAUAAUACAAAUUAUAAGUUGCCUUGGCUACAGAAAAUGCACUUCAAUGCACAAGUAGUGUACCAUAUAAAGAAGAGAGUCAUAAGAUUGAGGCAGUUGCCGUGGGCGUCAUUUCUGAUCCUUAGAUUCCUUUAUUAGGUUACUGACAAUGUUUUGCGUUGAAAAUUUGUAGCUUUAAAAGUAAAUUUUGGCGCUUAUUGAAUUUGAGGCAGGGAUUACCAUGCUGGAACCAAUAUUGCGUGAUAUAAAAUCGUUAAUCAUGUAACGUAAAAUUUGAUGAAGUUGUGUCGAUUCAGUUAGCUGGUACUCUUCGUUUCAUUUGACAUGCAUUGACACACGUUACAUUCAUGAAACAGAAAAAAAAAAUUGCGAUGAUGGAUUGCAGCUGUUUUGCCUCAAACAAAUUAGUUUUAAUGUGAUUAGCUCUUAAAUUGUUGAAUCUGACUUCUAUGCCUCCUUUCUAACCAAAUGUAUUUGAAAUUUGCAGGGGGUUCAGUUCCAUCCUGAAAGUAUCAUAACUUCUGAAGGCAAGACAAUUGUGUGUAACUUUAUUAAAUCGAUAGAGAAAAAAGAGUCUGAAUCUGAGAAUUAGAGGUUUGGUUGAUAUGCAGAUUCUGCACAAUGUAAUGUAGCAUGGUGAUAAGACCCACACGUAUUACGAGUCAAGUUUGUUAUCAACGCACUUUCUUUUACCUUGUGCACACUCUCUGUUAAUCUUGACUGUUGAUUUUACUUUGAUUGUUCAAUCUAACGGCUACAAAACUAGAGGGGCAUAUAUUAAGUGAGAAAAUGUGUGUGAAAAGCACUACCCUUACAAUUCUCAGUUUCUUGAACAUGGUUCUUGCUCGUACAUCUCGGUAUCCCUGUUGCUUGUGAGUUGCUUGUUUCCCAAGUCUUACAUGGACCAAAAAAUGAUUCGAAUGAUCUUGUUUCAUAGUAGUUUCAUAUAUUAUCAUUUAUACAAUUGCGUUUAGUAUAAUUUGCGAACCAAAUAGGCACUAAGAUGUGUUUAAGCCAUUUAAUUAUCCAUUUAUUUUAAGAUAAUGUAAAGGCAAGGGCAUUAACCCUCUCGCGUGGGCAAAGACAAAGGCAAAAGCAAGCAGAAUGGUCCGAUAUGAUGUCAAAGACAUGCAAUAAGGUCCACAAAGUUAUAAAAAUAGCAAAUUCUGCUUCUUGUAAUUGUCGAAAGUAAUUAAAGUACAAGCACUUAGAGCCAACCUAAUCCUAUUUAUUACAAAACCAACCCUAGCACCAUCACAAGCUAAUUCAUUUUUUGUUUCGAUGGCCAUGUUCUUUCAUCCAAUACAUUUUGGCCAGCGAAGGUGUUUGGAAGGCUGAGUAGUGUUCUCUGAAGCGCUAGUUACCCUCGCCUACUAUCGUUAAACAAUCUGCAUUAAGGUAUUUUGACCUACCAAAUCUAACAAAAACUAUUAACAAGCAAUAUAAAAUUGUAACUUUACUGGUUUUCGGUGAAAGAUAUAACUAAAUAUAUAUAUGGGGGAGUGGAUCCGUGACCCUACUUUUUUUACAUAAUUUUGAACACAAGUUUUUGUGUUGCCCAUGCUGUAAUGUAUAUCAACGAUCCAAACCGUCUAUCUUUUAGAUCUUCCUUAAAAAAUCAUAGCUACCAAAAAACACUCAAAUCCGAAACCAUAUGACCCUCUAUCUUUUCAAGUCGUUGAAAUACAGUUCGGUGCGGGUUCUACGAAAACUUAUGUCAAAAGUUAUGUAAAAAAAAAUGGUAUCACGGAUCCGCCCUCUAUCUUUUCAGGUUGUUGUGAAGAGAAUGGUUAGUGUAACUUCAGUUCAUAUUUUCUUGAAAGAAGUUUAAGUUCGAAUUUCAUGUUCCCACUAAUCCAAUGGUAAAACAAAACAUUUGGAAGCUCAAGACGGGGAAAGAUUUUGGGACAAAGACUUAGAAGUCACGUUGGAUUUUCGAUGCUGGAUUAUUUUGAAACCCCAACAAGUACAGACUGUCCACCAAGUCUUAAUUGGGCUUAAGCUGCCAAGGUGAUGUAAAAAACAUGAAAAGGAAAACCCUUAUGGCUCAAUUUUUUUCUUUUUGCUGGACGUCUGUUCUUUAAAGUAAUGGACUUGCAAUAAUAUUAAUAAUUUCUGAAAUAUUUACUUCGUGUAGGUAUGUUUUGUUUGCAACGGUGAUCAACAAUAUCUAUAACGUAUCAAUACUUGCUGUUUUGUAAAAAAAAAGGGACGUCCAUUUUAUAGCUGGACUUAAUUAUAUACUUGUAACAGUUUGUUUGGCUAUUGUACUCAUUCACUCUCAUAAGCAUGCCAUAAAGUUUUUAACGUUUUUCAUAUUCCCUUCCGUUAAAGACCAACAGAAAUCAAGUGGGUAAGUGGAGUUGAGAUCCUCUAUGGAUUUCAAAGCUCAAGAGUCAAAAAAUUUAAACCGUUCAAGAGAUAGAUUCGAACAUUUGUUUUCUAUGAGGUGGGCCAGUAAAAUAGAUUAAUAGAGACCGCAUAAUUUAAUUUGAGUGAUCUGAAAUUCUUGGUGCUUGGGCUCCGGACAGUGAGACAAUAAAGCUGCAAAAACCAUAGUUUUCAUGUCUAGGGUGAGUUACCGCUUACCCAAUGAGCCUCAUACCAACCCAUAAUUUGACAGCUCAUUUCUUAUCUCUAGUGAUCCAAAGAAUUUCCAGGAAAACUAUUCCAGAGAAAUUCAUAUUAUUUUUCACUUCAGGAAAAAAAUGAAAAUACAAAAAACAAAAGUGGUUUAUGAAUGUUGGGAACAUGUGGAGUCGGAUGAAAUCAAAACAUAAGAGAUUCUGUUUUCUUGUAAAUUGACUUACACGUGGAGUCGGAUGAGACAAAAACAUAAGAGAUUCUAUGUUUUCUGGUAAAUUGAACUACAAACGACGAGGUCAGACACUUCCAUCAGUUUUCUCUAGAAAUUCCCUGUUUUUUGUUUUGUUUUUUUUUCAAUUUCUACAAGGGUCAUCAAGUGUAGCAGGUUUUGUUUCCUCAUUUUACUUGGUCCUCUCCACCUUCCAAGUCACGGACCCAACUUUGAAGCCUUCAAGAAUCCAACCUACUGCAUUCACAUUUCAAGGUGAAGGGUAAGGUCCAACAUACUGAACCCAUUUUUCCAGCUCUUGUCAUGUCCAACUGACCUUGGAUUCCAAUUCACCAUUGAUAAACUAUCAUCCCAACAUUUACUGCGCAGGCAGCUCUUGACUUUAACAGAUAAAAAGCCAUGACCAUUGACGCAAACUGUUAAGUUCAAAAUAAAUUAAAUUUUAAAAAGCAAUAAUAAUGUAAAUCCUACAAAACAACGCUCCAGUGCAGCGGACCGCUGAAUUUGCAUGACUAAAUUUUGACAGUCGCAAUCUAAUCGUAUAAACUCUGGUGCAUCACAUACACCGGUUUUUUCGGUUUACCGUAGAAAAAAUAAAUAAAUAAAUCCAUGCCUACUAUAUAUAAUAGAAACUUUACAUAUGCUCAAAUAUUUAUUGAACCCAUGAGGGUUUUCAAAAGUACAGAGAAAAUCUCAAUUUGUAAAGCCAAAAGGAAAGCAUGAAUGAUAGCUUGGGAAGGAAGCAUUCUAACAUUGUAUGAACUAUACACAUACCCCCCAAAACACCAUGUAAACUAUAUCCACCCUCGAUAAAUCUAUGCUUCUCCACUCUCUGUACACCGAAAAAACUGACCCAGCGCGCUAUAUCAACCAAAUGCCAAUGGAGUGACUGUAGUGCUCAUUCAUAUCACAAUAUCCAUACAUUGCUUGCAGCCCUCUCAAAUAGAAGUUGCCUCAUCUGCCUGGCUUACUCUGCUCCGGUGGUGAUGCUUUCCAUGGCGGCGCCUCCCUUUCCCGAAUGUGACAGGGUCAAAUACACGCAGUCUUUCAGCUUCUUGGGGAUUGAUCACACACUCUGAAGGAGGGGACUUGUAACGGAUUCUGUCAUAGCAGUAGGAGUAUGUCAUGUGCUUCUUCCUGAAACUCUCCAUCUUCAUUCUUUGAAGGCGGGUAACGCCAGUAGGGACCGAUUCUGAACUUUGGGUGUUUUCGCAUUUCUUUGAUAAUUGUUCAAUUGGAUCGACUGCACAGCCGUGUAGAACAAGGUCAGAGAACUCAGCCAAAUAGGGAGCAUACUUGUAAUUCACUCGGUAUUUGCCCCCGUUGGUAGCCCAAUCAGAUCCAUCCCAUAUUGUGGCGUACAAUGACAUUGGCUUAGCGGGGAAGUCACCACCAUUGAUUUUGUUUUCUUGAACUCUCUAAUGGGAACAUUGUCAACAUAAAAGCUGCAAGUAAUUGACAUUGGAAACAAAUACGCAAUCAAAAUCUAAAUCACAGAACUCAUAAAAAUUGAGGUGAAAACAAUAAAAGGCGAGAAAUCGCUAUGAACAAAAUUUUCCCUUGAAUAACAAAAAAUUCUAUUUUCAUUUAUUCCCUAAAACGAAAACUAGCACCAAGGAUGGUAGUUGUAUUAGUCUGUCAAACCAAACUCUGGUUUAUCUGUCCCUUAAACUUAUUAAGUAUCUACCAUUCGAACCAAAAUUCCCAUCUUUUUCUUUUUUACUUUUCUCAGAAACCGAACAGCUGGUUUUGAAGAAACAGAAGGCGGUAUUAAAAGAACGAAAAGAGCAAGUGAUCUACUGUAUUUUCCUAAAAGGAGAAACCCUGCAUCUGCAUUUGCCAUACACAGAGGCAUCACAUCAAACCCCAAAAAACAGUAAACUCCAGACUUCAAAGAAUAUAACAUUAUUGGUGAUGAUAUGGAAAAAUAUGCUCACAAAAAGUUGAUAUGCUAACAGAUAGAUUUAGCAUAUUAAUCCAAAUAUAGAGUGGGGAGUUUUGAUUGAUGCUCACAUGAUCUGAAUGUCAGUCCAGAGAAUGCUGUACUGAUGGUAAUCGUCGGAUGGAUCAAACCAUAGAUUGUAUCUCUCUUCCCUGCCGGUGUUGGUGCUUCCGUUGCCGUAAAUGUUGGUCUGAACCCUCCAUUCUUUGCCCCGUAUGUUCCCCAAAAACUCGAAAUCAAUUUCAUCAUGGUACUUCGGAAACAUGUCACCGUUCGACAUCUGUUAACAUCAAACUGAUUAGAACCCGUAUUCCCCUAUUCAUUUAACAGCUCAGUGAUAAAAUAAAAAGGAAAACACAAGCAAACAUCAGUGUGGAAUAUUUAUUCAUCCGAAAUCUUGAACAUAAACAAAAUGAAAGAAAAUACUCAUCUGGGUGUGAACUUCGGGUCACAAAAUGGACAUUUUAAAUGUAAAAAGUUAAACAGCAGCCGAUCUGGGUUAUCUCAGUAGGUUGAGGAAACAAGUUUUUAAUAGGGAUAUUGAUAGAAUUAGAUCCAUAACAUUUUCCGGGCUCCACACCACCAAAUUUACAACAAACAAAUGUUCAGAUUAAUCAGCUAACCAUAAAGAUUGAAUCUUUACUGAACUGUAAAAUUUUGAAGUAAAAAUUCGGGUCAUAUUAUUUAGUUCAUUGAUAAAAACAUACAACCUAAGAUACAAUCAUACAACAAAUAAAGAGGGAAACAAAAUUAAAAAACCUUAAUCAGAUAGAAAAACAGGAUUAACUCACAUAAAACGCCACAACAACUCCAGCAGUAUAAUCAGCAGGCAGCUUAAUGGAAGCACUGAAAAACCCAUGCUGGUAGAGGUCCUGAGAAACAAAUCCAGACCCUGCAAACAGACAGUCACCAAAAACCAAACAAAGACACCAACUUUAAGGUCAAAUAACACAUGAAACAUCGCCACC
rnacentral:lncRNA from 1 species